GUUCGAUCUCGAGCAAUGGAGGGCAUCAGCGCCACACCACAUUGGAUAAUAAACGCUAGAAAAAACAUUGAACAUUCACAGCAGUGGAAAGGUUUCACUGCAGAGCUGUUUGAUGCAGUCCAACAGCAGCUAGUGGAGAGUCAUGUUAACUUCUUCACUGAUCUCUCCGAGGCAGAGAAAACACUGUUUCUGGAGAGAGCCGCUAAAGCUAUCCGCAGAGUUACAUCACCUACAAAGAAGUUGUGCUUCAGAUCAGCUCCUGCUUAGAGGAUCAGCUGAGCAGCUGUGUUGCCAUAGAGAUGCAGGAGAGUGGCAGCGUGUCUACCAAAUCAGAUCGCUUUCAGAGUCAUGUCCGGGAUGGAAUGGUCAAUCUUUUACAAAAGUGGCCUAACAUGAAAUACAAACUUCAUGCCCUCUUCAAUCACCCUUUAUCUUCAGAAAUCAGAAAAGUUGCUUGGAGACUCUUUCUGUCCAACACAAAGGGAGGCAGGAGCCAGGCCUGCAUAAAGGAACUACUAGAAGAGACUAAGUGCUUGUGACUUUAGCAACAGCACUGGGGUUUCCUCUUGACUACUCGGAGAACCGCCAUCACUGAGGUGAGGCUGAACCGAUCAACCUCCAAGGCCGGGAAGCAAGGAACUUCCCUCAAGGGGAAACUAAGGAAGGAUACAGGACGAACUAAGGUCUCCCUGGAUUACUGAUAGAGGCUUCUGCUAACACUGAAGGGGUUGUUGUGUUUGAAGAAGUGGCUCAGAUGCUUGGACAAAAGGACAAGGAACUGUCCAAUGUGAUUCAGAAAAUAUACACACAACAAGGUAUCAAAC